GCCCGAGUGGCGGAAUUGGUAGACGCAACGGACUUAAAAUCCGUUGAGGGUUUCCCUCGUGCCGGUUCGAUUCCGGCCUCGGGCACCA
rnacentral:tRNA from 1 species